UGGGGAAUAUUGCACAAUGGGCGAAAGCCUGAUGCAGCGACGCCACGUGAGGGAUGACGGCCUUCGGGUUGUAAACCUCUUUCAGCAGGGAAGAAGCGAAAGUGAUGGUACCUGCAGAAGAAGCGCCGGCUAACUACGUGCCAGCAGCCGCGGUAAUACGUAGGGCGCAAGCGUUGUCCGGAAUUAUUGGGCGUAAAGAGCUCGUAGGCGGUCUGUCGCGUCUGGUGUGAAAUCCCAUGGCUCAACUGUGGGCUUGCAUCGGGUACGGGCAGACUAGAGUGCUGUAGGGGAGACCGGAAUUCCUGGUGUAGCGGUGGAAUGCGCAGAUAUCAGGAGGAACACCGAUGGCGAAGGCAGGUCUCUGGGCAGUUACUGACGCUGAGGAGCGAAAGCAUGGGGAGCGAA
rnacentral:rRNA from 1 species